AAGCCUCCUUCUUUUGCCACUUUAGUGCCACCAUGGGCUGCAGGCUGCUCUGCUGUGUAGCCCUUUGUCUCCUGCGAGCAGGCUCCAGUGAUGCCCAGGUCAUUCAGACUCCAGGACAUCUGGUCAAAGGCAAAGGACAGAAAGCAAGGAUGGACUGCACCCCCCAAAAAGGACACCCCGUUGUUUACUGGUAUCAACAGAUCCCGAAAAAAGAGUUUAAGUUUUUGAUCUCCUUUCAGAACGAAGAUAUUCUUAAUCAAAUCGAGUUGUUCAAAGAGCGAUUCUCAGCGAAUUGCCCCAAAACCUCACCGUGCAGCCUGGAAAUCCAGUCCUCUGAAACGGGCGACUCAGCUCUGUAUUUCUGUGCCAGCAGCCAGUCCACAGUGCUGCAAUGUCAGCUCCUUGCAGUGCACAAACACAACCUGGGCACAGCUCAGGGAGCAGCUGGCACGUUGGGCUGUAACAGAAGCCAACUGGAGUCAGCUUGAGCCACGGUGGAAUUUCACACCAGGCUAAUGUGUGCGGAGCAGCAGUCAAGGAAUGGUGAACAG